GAUGAACGCUGGCGGCGUGCUUAACACAUGCAAGUCGAACGGAAAGGCUCCUGCUUGCAGGGGUACUCGAGUGGCGAACGGGUGAGUAACACGUGGGUGAUCUGCCCUGCACUUCGGGAUAAGCCUGGGAAACUGGGUCUAAUACCGGAUAGGACGAUGGUUUGGAUGCCAUUGUGGGAAGUUUUUCGGUGUGGGAUGAGCUCGCGGCCUAUCAGCUUGUUGGUGGGGUAAUGGCCUACCAAGGCGUCGACGGGUAGCCGGCCUGAGAGGGUGUACGGCCACAUUGGGACUGAGAUACGGCCCAGACUCCUACGGGAGGCAGCAGUGGGGAAUAUUGCACAAUGGGCGGAAGCCUGAUGCAGCGACGCCGCGUGGGGGAUGACGGCCUUCGGGUUGUAAACCCCUUUCGCUAGGGACGAAGCGCAAGUGACGGUAAAUGGAGAAGAAGCACCGGCUAACUACGUG
rnacentral:rRNA from 1 species